GUAAUGGGGGAUAACUAGUCGAAAGAUUAGCUAAUACCGCAUACGCCCUGAGGGGGAAAGUAGGGGAUCUUCGGACCUUACGUUAUAAGAGCGGCCGAUAUCUGAUUAGCUAGUUGGUGGGGUAAUGGCCUACCAAGGCGACGAUCAGUAGCUGGUCUGAGAGGACGACCAGCCACACUGGAACUGAGACACGGUCCAGACUCCUACGGGAGGCAGCAGUGGGGAAUUUUGGACAAUGGGCGAAAGCCUGAUCCAGCCAUUCCGCGUGAGUGAAGAAGGCCUUCGGGUUGUAAAGCUCUUUCGCAAGGGAAGAAAACUUACAUUCUAAUAAAGUGUGAGGCUGACGGUACCUUGAUAAGAAGCACCGGCUAACUACGUGCCAGCAGCCGCGGUAAUACGUAGGGUGCGAGCGUUAAUCGGAAUUACUGGGCGUAAAGCGUGCGCAGGCGGUUUUGUAAGUCAGAUGUGAAAUCCCCGAGCUCAACUUGGGAACUGCGUUUGAAACUACAAGACUAGAAUAUGUCAGAGGGGGGUAGAAUUCCACGUGUAGCAGUGAAAUGCGUAGAGAUGUGGAGGAAUACCAAUGGCGAAGGCAGCCCCCUGGGAUAAUAUUGACGCUCAUGCACGAAAGCGUGGGGAGCAAACAGGAUUAGAUACCCUGGUAGUCCACGCCCUAAACGAUGUCUACUAGUUGUUGGUGGAGUAAAAUCCAUGAGUAACGCAGCUAACGCGUGAAGUAGA
rnacentral:rRNA from 1 species